rnacentral:rRNA from 1 species
CCCUUAGAUGUUCUGGGCUGCACCCGUGCUACACUGGCAGGUUCAGCGAGCUUCAUGCCCUGAUCUGAAAGGAAUGGGAAAUCUUUUCAAAACCUGCCGUGCUUGGGAUAGAUGUUUGCAAUUAUUCAUCUUCAACGAGGAUUGCCUUGUAAGCGCACGUCAUCAGCGUGCAUUGAAUACGACCCUGUAUUCUGUACACACCGCCCGUCGCUCCUACCGAUUGAAGUUUUCGGUGAGUUGACAGGAGGAUUUUUUUGAAACUGGUUCGCCAGUGGAUUUUAGAUCCAAAUGCCAACGAAUCGAUGGCUUUAGAGGAAGGGGAAGUCGUAACA